AGAGCGCACAAUGAAACAGCUUGGCACCGAGGGUCGGUGUGUCUGCGCUGCGAAUGUUGCUGGGCCAGCUUGCGGUGUGGGUGGAGCUGGCCACCUCCCUAACUCUUGGAUAAAACCAAUUUCUCCGUCUGCCUGGUGCAGUGGUUCUUAACAGUUCAACAGUUCUCUAUCGAAAUUGUGAAAUGUUUAGGACCACUUGAUCAGGAGGACACGCUCUUCAGGGAAAAGCCAUGAUUGGAAUACAGCGGGCACUUCACUCGUCCUCGCUGCCUGGAAGGAUUAGAAGCCACCAGGGACAUUUUCCUCCGAAUAUCUGGAGCUCACUAUAUUAACUGUUUAUUUGCCAAGAUGGUGCAUGGCUACUGUGGAUCGUUUAGCCCGUUUGCUGUCAGGAUUCCGCGUUUCGGCAGAAUAUUCUGGCAGCACAAUGGGUUAACAUUCAGUGCGAUCCUUUCACAUAUAUAAGUUGCAAUUUCCUUUUACUAAAACUGAUUUAGGAAGAGGAAAUCUAAUUUAAA